rnacentral:rRNA from 1 species
AUUGAACGCUGGCGGCAGGCUUAACACAUGCAAGUCGAACGGUCUACUUCGGUAGUUAGUGGCGAACGGGUGAGUAAUGCCUAGGAAUCUGCCGUUUAAUGGGGGAUAACUGACCGAAAGGUCUGCUAAUACCGCAUACGCCCUACGGGGGAAAGCAGGGGAUCUUCGGACCUUGCGUUAAACGAUGAGCCUAGGUCGGAUUAGCUAGUUGGUGAGGUAAAGGCUCACCAAGGCGACGAUCUGUAGCGGGUCUGAGAGGAUGAUCCGCCACACUGGAACUGAGACACGGUCCAGACUCCUACGGGAGGCAGCAGUGGGGAAUAUUGGACAAUGGGGGCAACCCUGAUCCAGCCAUGCCGCGUGUGUGAAGAAGGCCUUUUGGUUGUAAAGCACUUUAAGCGAGGAGGAGGCUUUGUGGGUUAAUACCCUGCAAAGUGGACGUUACUCGCAGAAUAAGCAUCGGCUAACUCUGUGCCAGCCGCCGCUGUAA